rnacentral:rRNA from 1 species
GAUCAUGGCUCAGGAUGAACGCUAGCGACAGGCUUAACACAUGCAAGUCGAGGGGCAGCAUAGAAGUAGCAAUACUUGGUGGCGACCGGCGCACGGGUGAGUAACGCGUAUGCAACCUACCUAUCAGAGGGGAAUAACCCGGCGAAAGUCGGACUAAUACCGCAUAAAACAGGGGCACCGCAUGGUGAUAUUUGUUAAAGAAAUUCGCUGAUAGAUGGGCAUGCGUUCCAUUAGGUAGUUGGUGAGGUAACGGCUCACCAAGCCGACGAUGGAUAGGGGAACUGAGAGGUUGGUCCCCCACACUGGUACUGAGACACGGACCAGACUCCUACGGGAGGCAGCAGUGAGGAAUAUUGGUCAAUGGGCGGGAGCCUGAACCAGCCAAGUCGCCGUGAAGGAAGAAGGAUCUAUGGUUCGUAAACUUCUUUUGCAGGGGAAUAAAGUGCAGGACGUGUCCUGUUUUGUAUGUACCCUGAGAAUAAGGAUCGGCUAACUCCGUGCCAGCCGCAGC